rnacentral:lncRNA from 1 species
AUGGGGCAGGAGACAGCCUGGGUCCUGGGCAGCCCAGGAAGCCUGCUCGGCUCCCUCCCCUACUCGAGGUUCCUGCCUGGGCAGCUGCUCCACACCCAGCACCUCCGUGUGUCUCUUUCCCCUGGAGACUUGCUGAAGCACUCCGCAGCACCCGGGACCAGAAAGGGCUCUCCGGUGGCCUACACCCUGCCCGACUGGUACAUCCAUCACAGCAAGCCGCCCACCGCCAGCCGGCGUCCGGUGCCCGUGGUCACCAUGCCAGAUUACAUGGUAUACGAAGAGUUCCACCCCAGCCAAGCCAACGGUGGCUACGAGUCUAGAAGAGGACCCUUCAACUUCGACAUGAAAACAGUGUGGCAGAGAGAGGCCGAAGAGCUUGAGGAGAAAAAGAAGGUGAGGCUGCCGGCCAUUAACUCAAAGCACCCCAACAAAGUGGGGACGCCGGUGGGUGCCAGAGACUCUGAGGGAAGCAGGCUGUCUUUCCCCCCCAUGCCUGGUCAGAGAGCCGGCUCCCCAACAAACUUCUCCAAGCUCAUCAGCAAUGGUUACAAGGACGAGUGGUUGCAGCAGCAGCAGCUGCGAGCUGACUCUGAGAAGAGGACCUGGAAGACGUCCAGGGUGUCGGUGUCAUCCCAGUCCACGCGGGACCCCAAGGGACUCCAGGAUGUAGCAUCACCACAGGACACACAGGCUCUGGAAGUCUCCGAGAAGGCUAAAGACCCAGUGACACCUCCCCCAGCACCGACACCGGCAGAGCUCAAGUAGACUGGCAGUGAUGUCUGGGGUCACCUUCCCCGGACCGCCUGCGCGAUGACGUCACAGAUGUCCCAGCCCACCGGGCCCAUUCCCAAGGCUCCUGGAACGGAGAUCCCCCGCGGACUGUGGUCUCCCAUCAGCUUUGACGCCCGCACUGCGCAGGCGCCCUUGCGUUUCUCCCCGAGACUCUGAACACGCGGUCCCCGCCGUCCUCUGCUUCGCUGGCCGCGAUGUCCCCGUGCUGGGGACCAGCUCCUUCUUCCCGUGCUCCUCUGAACCAGAAAAACCCAGAACAAGCUUCAAGCCUCUCCCACCAGUUGUCCUGAAACCUCUGUAGAAAUGAUUUUUUCUGGUGCAAAAAAAUAAUCGAUUUUAGAAUAUGGGGAUAAAGUUUAUAUUAAAGAAAGAUUUUAUUAUGACUUGAAGUUUUAAACAUUGAAUAUACAAUAAAACAUUGUAACAUUUGCUAGUUUUACAUUUUUUUUUUGCUAAUACUUUUUAAAAGUCCAG